rnacentral:lncRNA from 1 species
AGUUUUCUACAGCAAGCGGAAGCCACUCCCACUCUCUCCCAACAACGCCCUCGACGUCACCACCUUCAUCUCCUCCCGAGCCCACCGCGGAACCACCGCCUUCAUCGACGCCGCCACAGGCCGCCACCUCAGCUACAGCCAGCUAUGGCGAGCGGUGGAGGGCGUGGCGGGCUCUCUCUGGGACAUGGGGAUCCGAAAGGGCAACGUGGUCCUGCUCCUCUCUCCCAACUCCAUCGACUUCCCGGUGGUGUGCCUGGCCAUCAUGUCCCUGGGCGCCGUCAUCACCACCACCAAUCCCCUCAACACCACGCAGGAAAUCGCCAAGCAGAUCGCCGAUUCCAAGCCCCUCCUCGCCUUCACCACCCCUCUCUUGCUCCCCAAACUCACCAAGGCAGCACCCUCUCUACCAAUCAUUCUCAUGGACACCACCGCUCACC